UCAGAUUGAACGCUGGCGGCAGGCUUAACACAUGCAAGUCNAGCGGUAACAGGGGGUGCUUGCACCCCGCUGACNAGCGGCGGACGGGUGAGUAAUGCAUAGGAAACUGCCCAGUAGUGGGGGAUAGCCCGGGGAAACCCGGAUUAAUACCGCGUACGCCCUUCGGGGGAAAGCAGGGGCUCUUCGGACCUUGCGCUAUUGGAUGUGCCUAUGUCGGAUUAGCUAGUUGGUGGGGUAAAGGCCUACCAAGGCGACGAUCCGUAGCUGGUCUGAGAGGAUGAUCAGCCACAUCGGGACUGAGACACGGCCCGAACUCCUACGGGAGGCAGCAGUGGGGAAUAUUGGACAAUGGGGGCAACCCUGAUCCAGCCAUGCCGCGUGUGUGAAGAAGGCUUUCGGGUUGUAAAGCACUUUCAGUGAGGAGGAAGGCUUGAAGGUUAAUACCCUUCAGGAUUGACGUUACUCACAGAAGAAGCACCGGCUAACUCCGUGCCAGCAGCCGCGGUAAUACGGAGGGUGCAAGCGUUAAUCGGAAUUACUGGGCGUAAAGCGCGCGUAGGUGGUUUGAUAAGCGAGAUGUGAAAG
rnacentral:rRNA from 1 species